rnacentral:rRNA from 1 species
UAUUAAGUAAGGCCUGCUCCAUGAAUAUUUAAUAGCCGCAGAAUUUUUACUGUGCUAAGGUAGCAUAAUCAUUAGUCUUUUAAUUAAAGACUCGUAUGAAAGGCUUAACAUUUCGAAAGCUUUCUUUUUUUGAUAUGUCAAACUUAAAUUAAGCAUAAAAUGUCCUUAUUAUUAACCCAGACGACAAGACCCUAUUGAACUUUACUUUAGUUUAGCUGGGGCAGCUGACUAAAAACCAUUUUAGUUAACAAAAUCCCCUAAAAUCCCAAUCUUAUUGAAUACUAAUAAGUUACCAUAGGGAUAACAGCGUAAUAUUUUUUUAAAGUUCAUAUAGGAAAAAAAGUUUGCGACCUCGAUGUUGAAUUAGUGAUACUCUUGGGUGCAAUAACUCACUAAGUGGGUCUGUUCGACCCUUAAAUCACUACA